CCUGGCUACAGGAAUUUGGGGUCAGGAGGUUGCAGCAGGACCUAGGAAUCUGCACUUUGAGUAGGAAACAAGGGAUUUUAGAACCACAGCUUAAGAAAUGUUCAUUUGAUCUUCAAAGAAACUUAUAAGGCAGGAUGGUAGGCAGCCUCCCUGAUGGCCCCUGCUGAUCCUUGCCUCCUGGGGUCCACACCCUUUCCACAAUGAAUAAUGGCAAGCCUGUGUAGCUGAGAGGAUUCUGUGGACAGUGGGGCUUCCAAGUCUAGGUUGUAAUAGGAGACACUCCAACCUCUGCCUGGCUCACUCUCAGCUGGCAUGUGGUGAGGGCACUCAAGCAGCCCCUGGAGAGGGCCACUUGCAGAGGAACUGCAAUGCCCAAGCGAGGGCUGGCACCUGUUCACUCACCAUCUGAGUGCACCUUCUUGCAAGUGGAUUCUCUGGCCCCAGAACAGCUUUCAGAUGACUGCAGCCAUGGCCGACAGCUUUAACUGUAACCUCAGGAGAGACCAAGGAGCCGAAGCCACUCCCAAAUUUGAUCCACAGAGACUGUGAGAUGUUUAUUAUUUUAAACCACUAAGUUUUGGUUGUUAGUAAGAGACAACAAAUACAGGUAGAUACUAUUAUGAUCGUGUCCAUUUUGCAGAUAAGGAAACAGUCAUUAAAGGGUCCUCAGAUCAUCUAAUAAUAGAGUUUAACAAAAACCAGGCUGGGAUGAUUUCAAAGCCAUUGCUUUUCUAUCAAUAAGUAUACCCUAGGGGGCAGGAGAAGAUCACAGACCAUUAAAAAGAUUAACUGUUUUACCCCUCCCACUGUUGGCCAAGGUUACUUGGGGUGGUCCCUACCACUCUGGGGUUUGGAGGGGUGGCUUUAGCCCUCUGGGUACCUGUGAAGCAGCACACACUCAAUACCUGAGCUGUGGAACUCUUGGCCUUGAGAGUGAUUUCUAGAAAAGGCAUGCCAACUGUCAUGGGCCAAACCACCAGGUACAGUCUGGCUUUCUUAUUCACUAGGAGGUGAUGGGAGGUGGGGCUGCUGGCCCAACAGAGCAGCUCAACUAGGAGGAAGAGGUGGUGGGAAGAGGAAGAAGAAGCGGGAAGCAAGGGCUGCAGAAAUCUGAGGUCAGGCCGGCACUGGGAGUGGGCCUUGCCACUCUCCUCUGGCCUGUCAUCUCCUCAGGCAGAUGGAACCUCCUAACCUAGAAGUGCAAGUCUGACCAUAGCAAUCCCCUGCCUCGUACGGCCCAUGGCUCCUCAGUACCCUCAAGAGAAAGGCCUAUUUCCCAGCAUGACGCAGGGGGCUUCAAGAUCUUACCUUGUCCCUCCUCCUCUCUCCAUCCUCACAAGUUCCAGCCUCCUUUGCUUUUGUUUCCCAAAUCCCUGUCCCAUGUCUUGCCAGCUAUUCCUUCUGCCUGCCUCUUAUGCUUCUAACUCCAGUUGUCUUUCAGGGGUCAGCUGAGAUGCCUCCUUCUCCAGGAAGCCUUCCUGGACCCCACUACUCAUGCUCUCAUGGUGUUUCCACCGUUUUAAGCACUAAGUACCCAGCAGGAUGUGUGGAAAAACUGGGGUGAUCAGAAGGUUUCCAGACAAAGAGGAAAGGUCUUGGGAUGCCACGUGCCCUUGCCUCCUGGGUGAGUAAUAUUCAGUGCUACUUCGGAAACUCGCCUGACAUUACUGGUCAAGAAAAAAGACAAACCUCCUGCAGCUUGACGCAUAGAGACUCACCAUCACGGGGUGAAGGAACCCAACCCCCCCCACUCAUGAAAACAAUGAGGAGACUGAAGCCCUAGUUAUACAGCUAGGACACAGGCGAUGCUGUGUUGGUGACCAGGGAGCCCCUUGUGGCAUUUUUUCAUCAGGAAGCUGGAGGCACCUGCCACUCACACCCUCCACUGAGGUGGGCACAGCUGGUACACUGACUGGUCUCAGGGCCAUGGCCUGUGGCCUCCAACUGGGGCAGGGCACAGUCUUGGCUCCUCAGAUCUAGACCCAGCAUCUAACCAGCUUCCACCUGUUGCAAUGAGUGGAAAGUGGAUUCCAACCCUUCCGUCUUCCUCUGUUGGAGCGCACAGCACAGUCGCCAGCCGAGAUAUCCACAGGAUCCAGGCAGUUGGCACAG